CCUACGGGAGGCAGCAGUGAGGAAUAUUGGUCAAUGGGCGAGAGCCUGAACCAGCCAAGUCGCGUGAGGGAGUACUGCCCUAUGGGUUGUAAACCUCUUUUGUCGGGGAGCAAAAGCCGGACGUGUCCGGCUGUGAGAGUACCCGAAGAAAAAGCAUCGGCUAACUCCGUGCCAGCAGCCGCGGUAAUACGGAGGAUGCGAGCGUUAUCCGGAUUUAUUGGGUUUAAAGGGUGCGCAGGCGGAUUUUUAAGUCAGCGGUAAAAUCGUGGGGCUCAACCCCAUCCAGCCGUUGAAACUGGGGAUCUAGAGUGUGCGAGAGGUAUGCGGAAUGCGUGGUGUAGCGGUGAAAUGCAUAGAUAUCACGCAGAACCCCGAUUGCGAAGGCAGCAUACCGGUGCACAACUGACGCUCAGGCACGAAAGCGUGGGUAUCGAACAGUAUUAGAUACCCUGGUAGUC
rnacentral:rRNA from 1 species